UUGCCCGAUGAUUAUAAAAAGACGCGAAAGAGGACUUGAAGCUGGAUUCUUUUCCUUUUUCUCUCUUCUCUACUCUUUGUCUAACUCUUCUAGUUCCCUCCCACUUUUCCUCUGCUUCUUUUUCUCUCUUUGGAUGUCCAGCGUCCUAUGAGCGAAGAUUAUGAGAUAUGAGGGCAA